GGCGGAGCUCUAAUUUGCAGCUCCGCCGGGUUCCUCUCGCGAGAUCCGGCGCGUUGCCAUGGCAACGACCGGAUCUCGCGAGAGUGAACUCUAGCCUCACGGGCUAGAGUUCACUCACCCACGAGGACCACCAGGGAACCCCACCACCCUGCCUUCCAGCGUGCCGGACCCCCCCUCCCAGGCUAAAGGUAAGAAGGGAGGGGGGGGGAACAUAGUGUCUGUUUUUUUAUUUACCCCCCCCCUACACACACACAAUAACAUUUAUACAGCACUCUCUCACACCCAUCACACACAGCACUCUCUCACACAGCACUCUCACACCCAUAACACACAGCACUCUCUCACACAGCACUCUCACACCCAUAACACACAGCACUCUCUCACACAGCACUCUCACACCCAUCACACUCACACAGCACUCUCACACCCAUCACACUCACAGCACUCUCACAGAGCACUCACACACACACAGCACUCUCAGAGCACUCUCUCACACAGCACACUCUCACACAGCACUCUCACAUCCAUCACUGACACACAGCACUCUCACACAGCACUCUCACAUCCAUCAC